rnacentral:rRNA from 1 species
CCUACGGGAGGCAGCAGUGAGGAAUAUUGGUCAAUGGCCGGGAGUCUGAACCAGCCAAGUCGCGUGAAGGAUGACUGCCCUAUGGGUUGUAAACUUCUUUUAUAUGGGAAUAAAGUGUUCCACGGGUCGGAUUUUGUAUGUACCUUAUGAAUAAGCAUCGGCUAACUCCGUGCCAGCAGCCGCGGUAAUACGGCGGAUCCGAGCGUUAUCCGGAUUUAUUGGGUUUAAAGGGAGCGUAGGGGGAUUGUUAAGUCAGUUGUGAAAGUUUGCGGCUCAACCGUAAAAUUGCAGUUGAAACUGGCAGUCUUGAGUACAGGAGAGGUGGGCGGAAUGCGUGGUGUAGCGGUGAAAUGCUUAGAUAUCACGAAGAACUCCGAUUGCGAAGGCAGCUCACUGGAGUGCAACUGACACUGAGGCUCGAAAGUGUGGGUAUCAAACAGGAUUAGAUACCCGAGUAGUC